ACUCACCAGAAGGAUCCCAGCACACGGAGUGGAUUGCCUUAGUAUGUCCCUGUAAUGAAUGCCGGCAAGCUUGUGUCUCAACGUCCAAUAUAGAUACAACAUUCUCAGCAGCUGCAGCAAGAUACCUCCCUAAACGGGGUUGGAAUCUCAUUUGGGCCGUACCACCCUUGAAUACUCUUGAACAACUACCAUUGUUAAUACUCCAGUAUCGUAUUUCACCAUCCCCGUCACAAGAGCAGAUGAGAUCAUCCUUACUUGGGUGGAAGUCCAGUGACAUGACAGAGGCAGAAUGCCCCGUAAAAGUGCGUAAUGAGUAACUAGGAUUGUCAGCGUCCCAAACCCUGACAGUUUUGUCAAAUGAUGAUGUUGCAAGUCGUGGCAUGCUUGGACUGAAACGCACGUCCGUAAUCAAUGAUGAAUGUUCUUCGAGGGUAGUUUUUGGCUUUAAAUUAUCCGUGUACCACAACACAGCCUUUUUAUCAUGGCCACCACUAGCAAGUAAUUUCCCAUCCGAUGAGAAGUGGCAACAAAUUACUUUGCUUGCACUCGCUCUAACAGAAGUUACUUCAGUAAAUGUAAACCCUUUGCUGACAUCCAUACGAGGCACUGUAUCUCUAGGAUCAGUGUCAUCAUGGGAUAAAAAAGAAUCAACAUUAUCCUCAAGGGAUCCAUCCUCCACAAAACGGUCCAUAUCAGCC
rnacentral:misc_RNA from 1 species